CGUAGGGUUGUUGCAGGGUGCGGGCUUGGGCCACAUGCAUGCACCCUUGUCGGGCGUGGGCCAGAUGGCCAACACACAUGCGGGCUGGUGCGCGCAUAUGGGUUUCCCCUUGCACGCAUCUGUACACACACCGAGCGUGCGGGGAGCCUUUCCGCAUGUGCAUACGGUUCUUCCUAAGGCUACAUGGGCUGGCCUUAUGCCUUUGGCUUUAAUCUUCUUAUGUCGUGGCCCACUUUGGUCGUAUGGCUUUGAAGUCAUCUUAGGUUGGGCCAGAAGUGAGUUUUUCCGUUCGAUUCUUCGAGCCCAUUAAUCUUACUUGGGCCUUAAGCCUACUAGUUUAGACAAACUUCACCCAUUUCCGAGAAUAAUCUCAAUUAGGAAAGCAUUUAGGGAUAAAUUUACUUUCUUGUUCUGGACGUUCCUCAUUGAGGCAAGAUUGCAGUUUUAAAAUUAUUUUUGGACUGUCUAGGAUCACAUCAUCCCCCUCUUCUUCAAAAAGAUUCAUCCUCGAAUCUAGGCCUUCAUCAUAGGGGAAAAGAUUAGUCAAUUGAAAACACACCAUACUUUCUCGACAUGUUUACUCCGUUAUUGAUGAAUGUCAUGACUUGAUUCACAAUUCCUCCAAGAUCUGGAUUAAAUCUUCGUAGUCCACUUUUCAUGGUAAUUAUCUACAUUAGGAAAACAAUACAACUAUGCAUAUAGUGUUUAAGAUCAAAAUGAAUCUCUCCAUAGGUAAGUACAAUGAAACUUCCCUUUUCACAAGAGAGAAUCAUUAAUAUUUUGUCCCUGUCACCAAAACACUCUUUUGUUUUCUUUCUCUAUUUUUCCCUUAGUGGACCAUCUUUAGAUGUCUGCUGGGCAGCUUUUAUGCUCAAUGGACCAUUAACUUUCUCUUCGACCUCUUUUCUCUUUUUUGCCCUUCUUGAGUAUUCAUCAAAAGACUGCUUAAUUUUGACCUGAUCUCCAUGUGCCUCUUUUGGUGAUAGAAGCGCAAGGAUAUUAUUUAGAUCAUCCUUUCGUAAUGAAAAUCGAUUGGUACUGUUGUUAUAUUGUACAUAUCUAUCAAACUGCCAAGGUCUCCCAAGUAUCAAGUGACUGGUAUGCAUAGGUACAAUGUCACAACAUAGUAGUCAUGAUAUUCUCCAAUGAAAAAUGACACUAUGACUUGGUUGGAAUGGGUAAAGAUUUGGAUGUUUAAUGCAUGUCAACCCUACUCUUUCCAUAAAUAGAGUGAUUGCCAAAUUAGCACAGUUACCACAGUCAAUGACUAUUCUACAUACCUUACUAUCAUAAAGGCAUUGGGUGUAGAAUAUGUUCUCCCUCUGCUCAUUGUCUUAUCCCUAGGUUUGCAGGUUCGCGACACUUCAAACAACAAGGUUGCUUUCUCAUAAGAAAAGUAUGCCACUUUAUUGAAACAUAGUGAAUUUUCUUGCAAGGUAAUNN
rnacentral:lncRNA from 1 species